rnacentral:rRNA from 1 species
GAUGAACGCUGGCGGCGUGCCUAAUACAUGCAAGUCGAGCGAACAGACGAGGAGCUUGCUCCUCUGACGUUAGCGGCGGACGGGUGAGUAACACGUGGAUAACCUACCUAUAAGACUGGGAUAACUUCGGGAAACCGGAGCUAAUACCGGAUAAUAUAUUGAACCGCAUGGUUCAAUAGUGAAAGACGGUUGUGCUGUCACUUAUAGAUGGAUCCGCGCCGCAUUAGCUAGUUGGUAAGGUAACGGCUUACCAAGGCAACGAUGCGUAGACGACCUGAGAGGGUGAUCGGCCACACUGGAACUGAGACACGGUCCAGACUCCUACGGGAGGCAGCAGUAGGGAAUCUUCCGCAAUGGGCGAAAGCCUGACGGAGCAACGCCGCGUGAGUGAUGAAGGUCUUCGGAUCGUAAAACUCUGUUAUUAGGGAAGAACAAAUGUGUAAGUAACUAUGCACGUCUUGACGGUACCUAAUCAGAAAGCCACGGCUAACUACGUG